rnacentral:rRNA from 1 species
AGUUAUUUUAACAAAUAAUUAAUCCUGCUAUUUGAGAAAUUAAAAAGCCGCUAAGCGCUAAGGUAGCGUAAUCAAAAGUUUAUUAAUUGUAAACCAGUAUGAAAGGAUUUUCUUAAUAAUAAUUUCUUUUACAUAAAAAAAAAAUUAAAAAAAAAUAAAAAAAGUUUUUUUUUCGCAAGACGAGAAGACCCUAAAAGCUUUUUAAUACAAUUAAUUUUUUGGGGAAAAAUUUUAAAAAAAGUUUUAAUUGAAAAAUAAUAAAAAACAUUUUAAAUAAUAAGCUACCUUAGGGAUAACAGAGCAAUUUAAGUGUAAAGUUCUUAUAAAAACUUAAGUUUGUGACCUCGAUGUCGGAUUUUAAGCUCUUAGCCUUGUAUAAAAGUCCCAAGAAAGACGGUUCGUCUUUUAAAAUUAA